UCAAUAGAAAAAAUCCGAACGACCCAUGUGUUCCUUUCUUCUUUUAAUAGUGUCCAGUAAACCCAAACACGAAGAAAUUCCAGCGAACAGGAAAAUUGCGACCCCUCCGUACGCCCAUCUCGACCUUGUCAUUUUUCUUCCUCUCUUACGCAUCGUCCUGUCCUCUCCAUACACGAUCUUUUUAGGUGUAGGCAUCUCCUUGCAAGAUUGUCCUUCCCUCAUAAUCCGACGGCUUUCGUUGAUGUACUGUUGAGAGAUUGUACAAUUUAGUACAAAUUCAAGCUGUUUGGCAACAUUAUCUUUGGGGGGAGAAUUUCAAAAUUUAAAAACACCCAAUUUUCUCCCUCCCGUUUCCCCUUUUUUCAUCCCAAUCUUCCCUCUAUAAAUAUACAUCAGAGGGGCAAAAUAAAUAGAGUAAGAAAGGUCAUAAGAAAUAUAUAUAUACAUAGAAACAUAAAGAACAAAAAAAAAGGAGAUACUAAAGUGACCGGGGGCCUAGAGUUUUAUGUUUCUUUUCAUUCCCAAUCACGAAAACUCAUCGAAGUUUCAUUGUAGCAGCAGUGAGGUCGUCUCUCACUCGUUUCUCGACUCAGGUCGCUGCCCCAAAAAAAGGAAAGAUGUCCAUAGUAAAAACGCAAAAGACAGAGAAAAUAGUGCAGAAGACGACCUACGAAGGCCAUCGACGGCCCUUCAUUCAAUCGACGGUUUGUAGGUGGUGACUGUCAAUUGAAGUUCAACUGAUGGAGAAACUCGGGGAAAUCUUACCAAGUGUAGAACUACGGAAGGGAUCGUUGGUAAACUAUUGAUAUGAUCAUGGAUAGUUUCAGUACCUGAAGUUGGAGAAAUUCUAAGGAUGGAGCGACGGAGGGCAUCGACGGACUAUGUUGUUGUUCCAUCGAUCGAUUCAGAGAGGGUUCCAUUUGAAGGAGAGAAAAAUAUUCUAUGUCUGAAAUGACGCAGGCAGUCACGACGGUACUUCAGUAGGGGUCGUUGAUCAAUGCCGCUUUUUUUGGACAAAAUUUCCUUAUUUCAAUUCCUUUUAAUUUAGGACAAUGUUUUCUAUAUAUAGGGUUUAAAACCUCAUAUUGGGGUUAGACAUUUUUAGUAUUGUUCUUGUGUUGUUUGGAGCUUGGUUUUUGCAAACUUUAACAAUAAUUCAAUUUCCGGAUUUGGUUUGAA